rnacentral:snoRNA from 1 species
ACGGCAUGAUGGGGACGUUUUCAAAUGAGGUCCAUUAAUCUUUCCCAUGCCUCAUGGAACUGCUCACUAUCAUUCUGUGAAAAGCUAUUGAGGGCUCGCCUU